rnacentral:rRNA from 1 species
GAUCAUGGCUCAGGACGAACGCUGGCGGCGCGCCUAACACAUGCAAGUCGAACGGAGCUUAGAGAGCUUGCUUUUUAAGCUUAGUGGCGAACGGGUGAGUAACGCGUGAGUAACCUGCCCUAGAGUGGGGGACAACAGUUGGAAACGACUGCUAAUACCGCAUAAGCCCACGGUACCGCAUGGCACUGAGGGAAAAGGAUUUAUUCGCUUUAGGAUGGACUCGCGUCCAAUUAGCUAGUUGGUGAGGUAACCGG